AGUCCCCGGCGUUCGGGCGCCCUGCAUGGAUCCCACACUCCGGCUCCUGCUUCCCAGCGGUGGCCGGUGGGCAGAAAGACCGAAACCCACUUACGGCCGCCUCCCGAAUCGCGGCUCUGCUGUUUGUGGGGCGUGCUAGAAACGUGGUCCUAAAAAGAAUGGCGUCCAUUUACAUAAUGCUUUGUUUGCGUUUCGCAAGUUUCUUUCGGUUAAAGCCACAGAAACCCCACCUCCUGCCCUUGUGUCGCUUCCACCGCGGCACCCUUUUCCGACAUUAGAAACAAUAGUGUGCGCCUGUGGAGGCCUCGUUUGUUCAGGGGCUGCUUCAGGGCCAGGGCUUCAGGACGUUUCUGCGGCUUUCCCCGCGCGGCCUGGGCUCCAGCGGCUGCCUUUCGGGCCCAUGGGAGCAGCCAUCGCGCCAGGCUCUCCGGGGGCGGCCCCGUCAGGGCCCGCCAUCUUGGAAGGCCUUUUCUGCCCGUUCCUCCCUCUGAGGAAGUGUAGCUCAAGACGCUGGCUUACGAGUUGUGAUUUCUGCCCUUUCCCCUUUCUCCUUGGGCUAAGCCAGAUCAGAAAGGGCCCCGUGCGCAACGUGCUUCACAAUCUCUCAGGCAAAGCGGCCAACGUGGCGCUACUCCGCCUCCCCUGUUCCUUACCGGUGGGGCGGCCGCCAUGUUUCCUGAACACAAAAUGGCGACACGUGGUUAGCAUUCGUCGCCAACGAGAAAUUGGGGUCGGCCCGAAAGCUCUAGAAUGCACCCCUAUUCCUCCCCGGGGCCAUUCCCGCUCCACGAGUUUUAUGACCUAAAAAACCCCACAGGCUGGUCUGAAGGUCGGAGGCCUAAUUUUAACGCGUUUUCCUCCCUUUAAUUUGAAACGGGAACGCGAAUAACUAAAAUGUGGGCACAAUAUUUAACCUCUUGCUUUUUUAAAGCUUAAUAAUGGAUAGUAGGGGGCAGUAUCAAGGGAUAAUUUGGGUCCCCACAGUACCAAAGCAUUUAGAAACCUCUGCUUAAUUUAAGGAAUGAGAUAAAUUACUGCUUUUCUAGAUUUGGUAGCAUGUGCUGUUGUGCUGGAGAGAACGAGAGCUACGAAGAGACUAGAAUGCCUCUGACUUUUUCAUAGGACAGUUGGCCGGUGAAUCUUAUUAAUAGUUUACCACAAUUAAGUGUUCACUUUUAGUCUAGAAGGGACAGGCGUUUAUUGUGCAUUGGCCCGUGCCAGCACAUCCGAUGCAAGGCAUUUCACCGUAUUCUAUCUUUAAUUUUUACCAUGGUCCUCUGAGGUAGGUGUUCUUAUCUCUCUCUCUCUUUUAAACAGAGGAAGACACUUAAAGAUGAAGUGCUUAAUUCAAGGUCACAGAAUGUCGGGGAUGGACCUCCAGAUUUCCUUACUGACCUGUAUUAUCUUGUGGAUACCUGAGUGAAUUCCACACCACCCAUUUUAUAGAUGAAGCCACUGAGACGUGGAGCAACUGACUGAGUAGUCACUGCCCCACCCCUGCCUGGAGCCUCACACAUGACUCAGGUACUUAUCCUGUAUUACAUGAGGGAAAUGAAAUAAAAAGACUGCAACCCUCCUCCCAGCUACUCAGUGAGGUGGUAGCUAGGAAAACAAGCUCAGGGCUCCCACUGAUUGUACAUUAUGGUGAGACGUGGUCUUGUAACACAGUGGUUAAGAAUGUGACUUUGGAGCCAGCCUGCUAGGGGCUGAAUUCUGACUCAGCCAUUUAUUAACUGUGUGACCUUAGAUAAAGGAAACUGAGGCCCAGAGAAGUCAAAUACUUUGAGAUCUCUGUAGGCCUCUACUGUGCUGGCUGUGCAUAGAUUCCAUACCUCCUGCUGUUGCUGUUGUUGGCUGUCUACCUUUACCAUGGCCAUCACCUCCUGACAGUGAUGGAGCUGAGCUGCUGGAAUAACUUGUUUUUCUUUUUUCUUUUUUUGUUUUCUUUUGAGACAGAGUUUCGCACUGUCCCCCAGGUUGGAGUGCAGUGGCGCGAUCUCAGCUCACUGCAACCUUUGCCUCCUGGGUUCACACCGUUCUUCUGCCUCAGCCUCCCAAGUAGCUGGGACUACAGGCGCCUGCCACCACGCCCGGCUAAUUUUUUGUAUUUUUAGUAGAGAUGGGGUUUGACUGUUAGCCAGGAUGGUCUCGAUCUCCUGACCUCGUGAUCUGCCCGCCUCGGCCUCCCGAAGUGCUGAGAUUACAGGGGUGAGCCACCAUGCCUGGCCUCUUUUUUUUUUUUUUUUUUUUUUUUGGAGACGGAGUCUCGCUCUGUCACCAGGCUGGAGUGCGGUGGCGCGAUCUCGGCUCACUGCAACCUCCGCCUCCCGGAUUUAAGCAAUUCUCCUGCCUCAGCCUUCUGAGUAGCUGGGAUUACAGGCACAUGCCACCACGCCCAGCUAAUUUUUGUGCUUUUAGUAGAGACAGCAUUUCACCAUGUUGGCCAGGAUGGUCUCAAUCUCUUGACCUUGUGAUCCGCCUGCCUUAGUCUCCCAAAGUGCUGGGAUUACAGGCAUGAGCCACCACACCUGGCCUAUGACUCGUUUUCUAAUACACCAGGCCAUAGCCUUUCUUCAUGUCUUGCCUGCUUCAUACUGUAAAUCAGAAACUCCUCUCAGGAGGCUUCUGACUGUAGCCUGACCAUCUCACCUCCAAUCCCUCUUCCCCUCUCCCCUUUAUUUUCCCUUUCCUAUUCUGUCUUUAUUUUUACUUUUCGUGCAGUGUCAGAGAAGUGUAGUGACAAUGUCGGGGGAGGAUCUCCCAGCUGCCUCUGGCAGUUGGUUUUAUACUUCCCACUUCUGGCGUGCUGUACCUUCUAGAAUUUCUGUCAGGAGACAAUUCAAAUCUUGUGUUUUUCUUUGGAGCUUUCAAGAUCUUGCACAUAGCUUAUAGUUACAUGGCUGUGAACAGAGAACGGGCAGUUUCAUGGUGGCAUUGGCUGUGAGGGCACUUAACAUUGAUGAAUUCAACCCACCACAGUGGCUGUCUCCCCUGUCAAAGUGAGUGAGGGGAUGAGAGCAUUUUCUGAACCAGCUCAUCUUCCUGAAUAGCUUCUUGCAUGCCCCUGGGCUUUUCUGUUGGCAUUUAAUUGCUGGCUGUGGAAUCUUGCCUGUUUUCCAAUAUAGACCUUUGGCUUUAGAUCCUGUUCUUGUUCUUACCCACUCUCACUAAACUGAACUCCAGGAACCACAUCUCUUUUGUUUGCUGCUGUAUCCCAGGACUGAGCAAAGGCCUGAUGCUUACUAACACCUCAAGAAUAUUUAUUGAAUGAAGAAAUGAAUAUUGACCUGGAAAGUUCAAACUCUUGGUUUUCCUUGCUUCUUCCUGAAGUCAGGGGCCAGAUUAAGAAUUUGUUUAAUAGUCUUAAGCAAUAGAAAAAUUAUGAUGUUCCUCAUACUUUCAUCCCUCCGUAUGUAUUUUAAAAACAGUGUAAAUGCAAAACAAGUAUAAAGAAACCUAGCAAAAUAUAAAGAAAAUGCAGCAAAAUUCUGAUUUUUACCAUGGUUACCACUUUCAUAAAUAUAAAGUAACUUAAAAUAUUUGUUGUUGUUGUUCUUGUUUUGCCAGUUCCCUGAGCACAUGCUGUUGAGUAAUCCUGCGUGGACCAGUCCUUCCCUCACCCUAGACUUCACCUUCAGUUCCCCUUUAUACCACUUGCUGAAGCUGCCAGCCAGCCUUUUCCACCACCCUCCCUCCCCCAGGGGUGUUUGGCUUCUCAGACCCCAGCCUGAGCUAGUGCCCUUGGCUCCCUAGGGUCUUGCCAGGAAAGUCAAAGGAGAACAUGCAUACUGCCAAAGAGUACCUAAUAAUAAUAACUCCCAUGCUGAAUUGUGAUUUAUAGUCAGCAUAGCACAUGUGUCAGGUGAUUGUACUUAGGCUGAUUUUAGCCUUAAUAAUCUGCUUCUGUGAUCCUGUAUGUGGAAAGCCUAGAAAUUUCUCUGUGAUCCUCCUUCCUGGAUCACUAAGAGACAAGUCAAGACAUAGGUCCAUUCUACCACCUGUAUUAAUCUGGGCCUUGUUGAGACCAUUUAAAGAAAGGUGUGAUGCUAGAAGUAAGGUCCAGGCCUCCUACACACUGUUUCAAGGCUGUGACCAUAGUCAGAUCCUGUUGCUUGAGUCCAAAGAGUUUAAAAUAAUGUUGGAAACCUCCUAGGGAAAAAACAAAAAACAAAAAAAAAAAAACCACAUCUUCCUGGGUAAGGAAGUGACAUGUGCUGACUAGAGCAGGAGGGGUAGCCAAGGCUCCAAAUUCUAUUCUGGACCUGUUGUUGAUUUGAGGUGUGAUAUUCAGCAAUCUGAGCUGAUGUUGUGUAGCUCUGAUUGGUUUCUCAUCUUCUGCAGAGAGAGUGAAAGAGGCUGUGCUUGCAGGGGAAAAGGUGAACACUGGUCUUCUGUCCUUUAGGAGAGCCUCACCAUUACACGUCCUGCCUCUCAUUCGAAUUUCCAGGCUUCUUUUUUAGAGUCUCGCUCUAUUGCCCAGAUUGGAGUGCAGUGGUGUGAUCUCGGCUUACUGCAACCUCUGCCUCUGGGUUUAAGCAAUUCUCUCACCUCAGCCUCCCAAGUAGCUGGAAUUAUAGGUGCGUGCCACCAUGCCUGGCUAAUUUUUGUGUUUUUAGUAGAGUCAGGGUUUCACCAUGUUGGCCAGGCUGUCUCGAACUCCUGACCUCAAGUGAUCCACACAUCUCGGCCUCCCAACCAGGCUUCUUUUUUAAAUGCAGAACCCCCCCCCCCACCAGAGUUAAUAUAGAAACCCAGCAAUGUUGUUUAUGUUUUACUUGAGUUCAUUUCAUCAGAAUUGCAUUCCUUUUAACAGUGUGAUUAGAUCAGCUCUUAGAGGGGAUGGCAACUUCAAUAGGGUUUAGGAAAGGAAAGGAAUAUUUGUGUGGGGCACACACCUUGGCUUUGAUAGCUUGAGGAUACCAGGUACAUGAUAAUUUAGAUGGAUAACAGAAACUUGUGUCCCUUGAGAGCCAGGCAUGUAUUAGACGCUUUCAUACAUUAUUUAAUUAUAAUACAAACCAAUAAAGUAUUCCCAUUUUUUGCACAUGGGCAAGCUGAAAGUCAAAGAAGUUAUGUAACUUGCCCAAGGUCACACAGCUAAUAAAAAGGCUGAGCUAGGAUUUAUUUCUCCUCAAGUCUGUACAACGCCAAAGCCCAUGCUGUUUUCACAGAGCUUUUCUGUCCCUGGUGAGAUUUAGGAAAGGAGGGUAGGAGAAAGAAGGGUGAUGAGAUGCCAUCUUUACCCACCUCGCGAUUUUGCUUGUUGGGACGUGUUUAGCCAGAACAUUCUGUUUAUAGAAUACUAGAUUCUAUAUAUAGAGAUGCUGCGGCAACAUAUGUGGGAAAGAUACCAAUUGGCUGUAGGUGAGGAUCUCAAAAAGCCUUUGUUCUUCAUCACAGUGUAGGCCACACGUGUCAAAACACCACUGGUAAUUGGUUUACUGCAUAAGUGGCUCUGUCCUAUCAUCUACAUAAAAUCUGUUGAUGUGGCUCACAGGUGUGAUGGGGCCAGAGGUGAGGGUGUGGUGUAUCCUCACUGCAUGUACUGGAGCUGGUGGCACCUGUUGUGUGACUACUGCAGUGAAUGAUUACUGAGUAAAUAAAAGGUGUCUCGGCCAGGCGUGGUGGCUCAUGCUUGUAAUCCCAGCACUUUGGGAGGCCGAGGUGGGCGGAUCACCUGAGGUUGAGAGUUUGAGACCAGCCUGACCAACACGGAGAAACCCCGUCUGUACUAAAAAUACAAAAUAAGCUGGGUGUGGUGGCUCAUGCCUGUGAUCCCAGCCACUUGGGAGGCUGUGGCAGGAGAAUCACCUGAAUCCGGGAGGCGGUGGUUACCGUGAGCCCAGAUCGUGUCAUUGCACUCUAGCCUGGGCAACAAGAGUGAAACUGUCUCAGAAAAAAAAAAAAAAAUUAGGUGUCUCUCUUUUUUUCCUUUUCCAAGGGAGACCAGAUAGCAGUGGGUGCUGGCACACAUCCAGGGAUACUGGCCCCUGGGCUAGCAGAAGAGAUGGCUUGAAGGUGUCAGGUGAUGGAAUAAAGAGAGCUGGUCAGUCAAGUGGUAUAAUUUCAGGGGACCAAGAAUGUGUCCUGCCCCUCAAAAACUUGCCCUAGCUGUUUGCUAUUGCUUGGAAUCCCACAACUGAAAUUUCUUUUCCUUGAUUUAAAUCUUUGAGACCCUGUUAAAAAUGAAGAGACUCCAGGAAGGGUUUUGAUUGUGGAACAUCUUGGUCAUGUUAACUGGAAGUGUGAAUGAGUUUAUAAGAUUGAUUUCUGAGAACCAGACUGAGGAAGGGAUAGAGAGGAGAAGGCACUGUGCCCCUAGGUGUAGGGACAGGAAGGAGACACCAAUGAGUUUGAGAUAAAGGCCUUGAAGAGAGAUGCUGGGUCCCUAAAGAAAUACUUGGUUUCCUUUACAGUUUUGUCUGAGAAAAGACAAGCAGCUGAGCGUGCUGGUUAUGGAGGCCCAUGACCCCAAAAGAGGGUGUGCUGAGUAGAUAGCCCACCAGCAUGUUCGGAUGGAGGCACAGUGUUGUCUGGAGAGCAGCUGACAGCUAUAAUGUAACCAGGAGUGCUGGACCUUUGGGUCUGUGGUUUACUGUGAUGUACUCAGACAAGACUGUCACAGAUCUUAGAAGGGGGGAGGCACAGCUUCCGAGAAAUGAUGCAAAAUGGUGGCGCAAAAGAGGCCACCAGUGGCAACAAGGGCAGGGCAUUUCCUUCGUGGCUGGUGGUCACGGACAACUUCUGGUCUCAAUUUCCCAAUGAGCUAUGCUAAGAGCUUUACCAGAAAGCAAAAUAAGCCAUGCCAAAAGCCAUGACAAAGCACUUGGAGUAUCCACGCAAAGGUGCAGUUCCCCCUUGUCCACUAAUUUUGUGGAGCCAAAAUAGCUGAUCCAGAAGCUGCAAAGAUAGUCCCUGUGAUUAAGACAUACAACUUUUUUUUUUUUUUUUUUUUUUAUGAGACAGAGUCUCACUCUGCCACCCAGGCUGGAGUGCAGUAGAGCAAUCUUGGCUCACUGCAACUUCCGCCUCCUAGGUUCAAGUGAUUCUUCUGCCUUAGUGUCCCAAGUAGCUGGGAUUAGAGGCGCACACCACCACGCCCAGGUAAUUUUUGUAUUUUUAGUAGAGAUGGGGUUUCACCAUGUUGGCCAGGCUGGUCUUGAACUCCUGACCUCAGGUGAUACUCCUGUCUUGGCCUCCCAAAGAAGGCAUACAACUUUUUUGGCCUGAGUUCUUCCAAAGAGAGACCCUUCCUGAUUAACUUGGCAUCAUCUUUCAUUCACCAGUGUUCUCUUAACUGCCUUUAUGAUUAGAAUUUUCACAGUGUUUUCUCCCCCAAGGGCGUAUUUUACAGAGGUAACUCAAAUCUCAGUGCCUUUCUGAGAUCCUUACAAUUGGGUUUAUAGAUGCCUCCACCCAGAGGUUCAAUUUCACUGUCCAUAUUCCUAUCCUAAGUCUAGAGCACUUUAUUUUUGAUCCAGACUUUUGGCUUCACUGAGGCCUCUUGGGUUCUAGCUAAUUUUUUUGGACACAUUUCUCUAGUGGGCAGCCUAGGAAUGGCCUGUCCUUCCUAUCCCCCAAAGUUUGGCAAAGUCUGUACCUGCUACCUUAAUGGAAUCAGCACUACUUGAGAUUUCUGAACAUCCUACACCGUUUCCUCUCCCCUCAACCCCUGCAGCCUCAUACACAAGGUCUAGUGGAAAGCAGGAUCUGCUGAUCACUAGGCUAUUAGAGCCAGUGUCUCCAGUAGGGAACUCCUGGGCAUGUGUUCUAUGCCAUGAAUGACAGCUCUCUGCCUAUCAGUUUCUGCUUUCCCUCCAUCUCACCUUUAUUUUGGCUUUUACCUAGAAGUACAAGGUUUGUCUUGUUCCUCUGCCUGGACUUCCUAACCCUGUCCAGAACUAAAGCCCUGCUGUCAGUCCCUCACCAGGGACUUUCCACACUUUCCCUGGCCAGGUCACUUAUCGAUACUAGAGCCUUUUCUUGCAUCUAGGCUUUAGUAGGUAGAGUUCUGUCCAUGCACAGGUCUCCCUGUGUUGACCACCUUGAACUUCGCCUAAUGCUCUUUGGGCUAAUUAGAUGUCAUGCUAGUCUGUCCCACUGCCUUCUGGAACAAGGCUCUUAGCUUUGUUGAGCUCCUGCCCUGGAUUUCGUGUUAGCUGUCCAGCUGCCUCCACCUCAAAGAGAGCUUUUAAUAUGCAUUGUAAAACUCCCAAAAGGGAAAUAGAAUAUAUAACAUUUUUCAAACGUAUUUAACUAGAGAUCCAUUUUUUUUGAAGGAAUAUUUAUUAAAAUCUUACAGAAUAUAUGUUUGGUGGAAUACAGUUUUGGAAAGAGUGAAUCUUUAUCCCAAAGGAAUGGACAUCAAAUAGAGUAAUUCCAGAUGAAGAUAAUGUUACUAUUACCUUCAUCUGAAAUUCCAGAUGAAGGUAAUAAUCACUGUUUCCUGUGUGUCUGCAUAAGGAUAGCUCUAAUCCGCAGUGGAACUCUAAAAUAGGGAGGAAGGAAGAAUUCUGCAUUCUUUUUUCCACUUUGAAUCCUCUUCUUCCCAAUGGAAAAGGAAGUGGUAAAUGCAAUGGUACCAUCAUGGCCAUGGCCGUCACUGGCUUCUGGAUACAAGAUAGGAGGGCUUCUCUGAGGCUCUCUUCCCUAGGUUGGACCUCUGUCAGAAUUUCUCUAGAGUGCUCCUGAGCACCCUUCCUUCUACUCUGGGACUAUAUUCAUCUCAGCAUCAGUCUCAAGUUUAACUGCAUGUUCAGGAUUUUGAUGUUACACAUGGAGAUCAGUGCCAAAUGGGAUGUAGCUCAUUUUUAUGGAAUGAGUAGGACAUAAAUUUUCUCCUUUCCCUAUUAAAUUUCUAUAUCUUGUAGGCAGUCCAGACUAUAAUUUUUUUUCAAUCCUUGAAUGGAGAUAAGCUCAUGCUCUGUAGGCAGGGCGGUGUUACAGGUGGGUCACCAUUUAAAUCUGGCUGGGUGGGUGACCAAGUACCAGAAAUUGAAGUUGGCAUAACUAGUAACCAAAGAGCAAGCCAAUUACUUCCCCUGCAUGCCAUUCCCAAACAGCACAGCCAGCACAGCUAGGGAAAGACCACCUGAAAGAAAUCUCUAAGACUUCUGAUGAAGAAAUUACUAGGUCCUCUUGAGACCCUCAUGUAUGUGUCUUUAUUGUCGUGAGUGAGAUCAUUAGUUGGCUGAUCUCAGAUAGUUGGUUUAGCUAAUCAUAAAACAAACUAGAUGGAAAGGCUCAGCUUUGACCAUGACCUUAGAUAGGGAUGGACCAUGUCCUUAGGUAUGUUCUUUGAACAUCCAGUAACCAGCAUUCUCCAUACACAAGCCCCACCCUUGGGGCCUUAGCCUAUGACAUUUGUCCAUUUUUGCCACUUCUUCUGAAAGACCGUGGUUUUAACUGAAGACCAGGGAGUUAGCUCGCUUAUAGGAAAGUGGGAAGAGGGCUUGAAAUGCGCAUUCAAAGAUCUUAAAUAGAGCUUGUAGUUUCUUUGGUCAGUCUACAGGUAUUUGCCACAUUAUUUUAGUUUAGUUCAGUUUAGUUUAGUUUUGAGUGGGAGUCUCACUCUGUCACCCAGGCUGGAAUACAGUGGCGUGAUCUCGGCUCACUGAAACCUCUGCCUCCUGGGUUCAAGUGAUUCUCCUGCCUCAGCCUCCCGAGUAGCUCGGAUUACAGGUGCCUGCCACUGCGCCUGGCUAAUUUUUGUACUUUUAGUAAAGACAAAGUUUCACCAUCUUGGCCAGUCUGGUCUUGAACUUUUGACCUCGUGAUCCACCCGCCUUGGCCUCCCAAAGUGCUGGGAUUACAGGUGUGAGCCACCGUGCCCAGCUGGUAUUUGCUAAGUAUUAAUUGACUUUUAACUGUGGAAAACUUGUUAACAGCUUUAGGAAGGCUGUUAGGGAAAGUCUUAGGUUGCAGUGAGCUGAGAUCACGCCAUUGCACUCCGGCCUGGGCAACAGAGCAAGACUCCAUCUCAAAAUAAAUAAAAAUUAAAAAAAUAAAGAGACAAAGUCUUGCUCUGUCACUCAGGCUAGAGUGCGGUGGUGUGAUCACAGUUCACUGCAGCCUCAAACUCCUGAGCUCAAGCAAUCUUCCUGUCUCAGCCUCCCUGAGUAGCUGAGAUCACAUAGUUGGGUGCCACUAUGUCCAACUGUCUCUACUCCCUCUAUAUACUGUCUCUAGAUGAUGCCAUCUAUAUUUAUUGGUUCAGCUACCACUAAUACAUCAAGUACUUUAAUACCAUCAUCCUCCACCUAGAUUUCUCUCUCUUCUGAGUUACUUACUCAUAAUAGCCAAACACUAUUGGCAUUGUAACCUGGAUAGCUCUUAAGCAUCUUAACAUGUCUCAAGCCAAAUUAUAUUCAUCACACCAUUCUCUUUCCCCAUUCCAAACCUCCUCCUUCUCCUCCUUACUUCCUUGAUUCAGGAGCAUCAUUGUCUAGGAUCAUUUGUUAACAUGCUUUUGCAUUACUGUUUCUCUAUUCCCCCACUGAGAAUUUAAUAGGCUCCGGUUGUAAUGUAAGAUGUUCAGGAUGUGGUUCUUUCCUUUCUUAUUCAAGAACAAUUAAGGGUUAAGCUGAGAUUCAGACUCUAAGUAAAACGGAAGUUCUGGAGAGGAAGCAUCUGAGGGCUAGAACCUUGGGAGAAAACUUGAGAGUUGACUAAGGCCACCCUUAGGUGCAGUAGGGGCCAGAAGACCUCUUUAGGAGCAUGCAGAAUGGAGAAGAGGUGGGGCAUAUGAUCCUCAGUUUGUUUCUUGUGCAAGCAGAGUAAUUGGCACCUUUCCUGCAGGCUGUUUCUGUAAAUCACUGUGGAACCUCAUGUAAUCUGGUUUAGGCGUCUAAGGAUUGAGCAUCCUAGUAUAACCCAUCAGCCUUCUGGAGUCAUCCUUCUCCUUAAAGUUUUGGCUCAAAAUGUCAUUCUUCAACUUACAGCAAGUUGUUCUGAUUCCUUCUUCAGAUUUCUUCAAAUUCCCAGGAGCUCUGAUUUUGAGCUCUUGCUUCCAUUGAAUUUGUUUAGGUUAUGGAUGGUUUACUAGAUCAAGUACACUGACCUUGUUUCCAUCCACAUUGAUAUAGAUGUAGAACUCCCAGCUAAAGCCUUUAUAUGCGUUGCAGACUUUAUCAAAGGUUUGGGAUAAUGGAGAGAAUUCAACAUUGCAACAAAGUAAGCAACUUGAAUUCUAAUACUGGUUGUUCCUGUUCCUCAGAGUACUUUUGCCCACCCCUCCACCAGGGAUUUGUCAUUAUUCAUAUCACUCACAUAUGUUGGCCUUGUUUUUUUUUUUUUUUUUUUUUUUUUUGAGAUGGAGUUUUGCUCUUGUUGCCCCGGCUGGAGUGCAAUGGCACGAUUUCGGCUCACUGCAACCUUUGCCUCACAGGUUCAAGUGAUUCUCCUACCUCAGCCUCCCAAGUAGCUGGGAUUACAGGCAUGUGCCACUAUGCCUGGCUAAUUUUUGUAUUUUUAGUAGAGACAGGGUUUCUCCAUGUUGGUCAGGCUGGUCUCGAACUCCCAACCUCAGGUGAUCCGCCCACCUCGGCUUCCCAAAGUGCUGGGGUUACAGGCGUGAGCCACCUCACCCAGCUGGCCUUGGUCUUUUAUAAUCUUAUCUUUCUCUCCUCUGCAAACUCUCCUUAGCAUAUUACCACUAGAACUCCAAAUACUUCUCUCAUUCUAUUUUACAAGCAAUUUAACUCUCUCAAACUCUUCCUCCUCAGAUCACUUCUGGGUUCACGUCUGUGUGUCCAGAGCCUACCAAGGGGGAAUAAAGAGUUUCAUACGCGUUUUUUUUUUUUUUUUUCCUUGAGACAUGGUUUUGUUCUGUUGCCAAGGCUGGAGUGAAGUGCUAUGAUGUGGUCAUAGCUCAUUGUAACCUCAAACUCUUGGCCUCAGGCAAUCCUCCCACCUUAGCCUCCUGAGUAGUAGCUAGCACUACAGGUGAUUACUACCACACCUGGCUACUAUUUUUUUUUGUUUUUUAGUGACAGGGUCUUGGUAUGUUGCCCAGGCUGGUCUCGAACUGGCCACAGGCCUCAAGCGAUUCAACUUUCUUGGCCUCCCAAAGUGUUGGGAAUGCAAGCAUGAGCCACUCUGCCCAGCCUUCAUGCAUUUCUUUAGCUACACAAAGAAUAAUAUGUAGACCCUCUGAUGUUUACUUUUCCAUUAUCUUCCCUCUUUUGAAGGUAUUUCUUGUUUUGAAUAGCACUUACUGCUUACCUGCAUAAUGGUUUUACAUUGAAGGAUCUAUGGAGGAAAAAUAGGAGGAUAUUCUAGGUAAAGGCAACAAUAAAAGCAGCAACCUUCAUAAAACCUGUUGUGGACAAAUGAAAAACUAGUCCAACUGGGCAGAAGGAUUCUUGUCAAGGAGGAGAGCUCAGAAUAGAUUAGAAAAUCCAGAAACAGACCUAGGUUUCAGCAGGAAAGGAUAGUGUUAGGUUAGGACAAGUGAUACAGGACAGCUGGCUGACGAGAAAAAAAAUUUCUGUCACCAUAUAGCAAAAUUAAUUCUAAAUGGAUUACAAGUUUUUACAUAAAAACUAAAGUAAUAAAUGUACUAGAAGAUAAUUUUUUUUUGAAGUAUGGCACUAAAGGCAGAAACUAUAAAGGAAAAUGUGUGAUGAAUUAGCUAAAAAAAAAAAGUAACAGCAUAAGCAAAAGUAGAUGACAAACUGGUUAAAAACAAUUUUCAACAUAUCUCUAAUGUACACAGAGCUUUUACACAUUAAUAGAAAAAAAAACAAAUACCACAAAAAAUGGGCUAAAGUCAUAGAAGAAUAAAUUCAAACGUGACUAACAAAACAUAUAGAAAAAGGCUAUUUCAGCCAGGUGCAGUACCUCAUGCCUGUAAUCCCAACACUUUGGGAGGUUUUUACAAAAAUAAAUUAGCCAGGAGUGGUAGUGCACAUCUGUAGUCCCAGCAGUAGCUCAGGAGGCUGAGGCACGAGAACAGCCUGAACACAGGAGGCGGAGGUUGCAGUGAGCUGAGAUCACGCCAGUGCGCCCCAGCCUGAGUGACAGAGCAAGACUCAUGCCUGUAAUCCCAGCACUUUGGGAAGUUGAGGCAGGCAGAUUGCUUGAGCUCAGGAGUUUGAGGAGAACAGUAACAAGUCACUGAUAAUGCCAAGGUGUUCGUCUGCACCAAAAUUGGAAGGUUACCUAUCGUGAUGGAAAUGGGGCUAACUGGAAAGGGGAGCCGCUCCUCUAGAAGGGUAAGAUGAAUUUGUUUCCUGGAGUUGAAUUUGAAGAGCUAGAGGUACAUCCAAGAGGAAAUGUUCUAUAGGCUGGAGAUUUCCAUUUAGAGAAAAAAAUUACUUCUAAAGUAGAAGCAAUAGGUGGGAGUGGAGACUCCCUAGAUUUGGCACCUUUGACAGGCUUGGAGGGGAGGUGGUAUUUUGGUUCUUCCCUUCCUGCCAGAAAUCUCCUUGAGAGACACUGGAGAGGAGUGUGUGGUCUCAAUUAGAACCUGAAGAGUAGAGACUGGGGAGAGGUAGGAGUGGGCAGUAAUCAUAAACAACAGCCACAACAGCAUUUAAAAAUUACUUUAGGCCGGGCUCAGUGGCUCACACCUGUAAUCCCAGCACUUUGGGAGGCUGAGGUGGGAGGAUCCCUUGAGCCUAGGAGUUCGAGGCUGCAGUGAGCCAUGAUCGUGCCACUGCACUCCAGCCUGGGUGACAGAGUGAGUCCCUGUCUCAGAAAAAAAUAAAAAUUACUUUAGAAAGUGACACUAUAGUGACUUAGGUAACAGAAUCCUGUGUGUUUUAGAUUAUUACUUUUUUUUUGUUUUUUGUUUAUAUGUACACUUCCAAUUUUGGUGUAGACAAACACCUUGGCAUUAUCAGUGACUUGUUACUCUGUUCUCCUCUUCCUGCCUGAGAGACUGUCAAAUCAGCGCUUAUUCUAUAAAGUGUCUUUAGAUUGAUCCAUUUCUUUAUAACCCCACCACCCACCCUAGUUGCUACCUUAUUAUUUCAGACUUGUAUUGCCAUUACAGCUUACUAACUGGUUUCUCUAAUCUCAUUUUCUACUUCAUUCAUUUUGCAUGCUACACCAUAAAACCUGCCCUGAUCACUGCUUUUAUCACCACUAUCUGCUCAAGAGCCUACAAUGGCUCUUCAUUACCAAGCCCACCAAGGUAAAAUAAUUUUGUCCGGUUUCAGCCCACCCACCAUGUUCAAGUAACAGGGUGUCUCUUCUUCUGCCCACCUCUUCACUGCUCCUAGCUCCAGGCUGCAGCUUUUGCUCUGUCUGCCCCACCUUGAAAAAUUCAUCUCUAAGA